rnacentral:rRNA from 1 species
GAUGAACGCUGGCGGCGUGCCUAAUACAUGCAAGUCGAGCGAACGGAUGAGAAGCUUGCUUCUCUGAUGUUAGCGGCGGACGGGUGAGUAACACGUGGAUAACCUACCUAUAAGACUGGGAUAACUUCGGGAAACCGGAGCUAAUACCGGAUAAUAUUUUGAACCGCAUGGUUCAAAAGUGAAAGACGGUCUUGCUGUCACUUAUAGAUGGAUCCGCGCUGCAUUAGCUAGUUGGUAAGGUAACGGCUUACCAAGGCAACGAUGCAUAGCCGACCUGAGAGGGUGAUCGGCCACACUGGAACUGAGACACGGUCCAGACUCCUACGGGAGGCAGCAGUAGGGAAUCUUCCGCAAUGGGCGAAAGCCUGACGGAGCAACGCCGCGUGAGUGAUGAAGGUCUUCGGAUCGUAAAACUCUGUUAUUAGGGAAGAACAUAUGUGUAAGUAACUGUGCACAUCUUGACGGUACCUAAUCAGAAAGCCACGGCUAACUACGUGCCAGCAGCCGCAGUAAUACGUAGGUGGCAAGCGUUAUCCGGAAUUAUUGGGCGUAAAGCGCGCGUAGGCGGUUUUUUAAGCCUGAUGUGAAAGCCCACGGCUCAACCGUGGAGGGUCAUUGGAAACUGGAAAACUUGAGUGCAGAAGAGGAAAGUGGAAUUCCAUGUGUAGCGGUGAAAUGCGCAGAGAUAUGGAGGAACACCAGUGGCGAAGGCGACUUUCUAGUCUGUAACUGACGCUGAUGUGCGAAAGCGUGGGGAUCAAACAGG